CCUGAAAAUACUUUGAGAGUUGAAGGUUA
rnacentral:misc_RNA from 1 species